UACGUAGGGGGCUAGCGUUGUCCGGAAUGAUUGGGCGUAAAGCGUCCGCAGGUGGCCAUGUAAGUCUGCUGUCAAAGCGUCUGGCUCAACCAGAUAAAGGCAGUGGAAACUACAUAGCUAGAGUAAGGUAGGGGUAGAGGGAAUUCCUGGUGUAGCGGUGAAAUGCGUAGAUAUCUGGAGGAACACCGGUGGCGAAGGCGGCAUCCUGGACCAAUACUGACGCUGAGGAGCGAAAGCCAGGGGAGCAAACGGG
rnacentral:rRNA from 1 species